rnacentral:lncRNA from 1 species
UCAUGGUUACAUGAUUCAUUUUUUUGCCUCCCCUCCUCCCACCCCCAUCUCAAAGUCAACAAGCAAUACCACUGGGUUUUACAUGUAUCAUUGUUCAAAACCUAUUUCCAUAUUAUUAAUAUUUGCAAUAGAGUGUUCACUUAAAAUCAACAUCCCCAAUCAUAUUCCCAUCGAACCAUGUGAUUGAUCAUAUGUCUUUCUUCUGCAUUUCUGCUCUCACAGGUCUUCCCCUGAAUGUGAAUAGCAUUCUUCCUCUUAAAUCCCUCAGAAUUGCCCUGGAUUAUUGCAUUGCUGCUAAUAGAGAAAUCUAUUACAUGACACCUUGACAGAGUCACAUGUGGUAGCUGAGGAGACCACAGAGUGGUCCUUGGCAUGCUGUAAUUGCCCACCCAGUCUCCCUUUUACAUGACCUCUUUCAUCAAUGCCCCUUACCAAUGAAUUGGCAUGAUUAUUAUUCCCCUUAGUCUCAAAAGAAAUAAUGCAAGAGCAAAACACCUGUACCCUAAUUCUCUAAAACAUCACCAAAAAGAUCUGACCCUUAAACCCAAUCCCAAUUUAUUUUAACAGUUGUUCUAGAUGUUUAAUCAAUGCUUAUUGAAUUGAAUUUGCCAUCCUUGAGUUCAAAAGAACUGAUAAUAGUUAUUAUGUAUUAAUUGCAGCUUGGCCCUUUGUCUGUUCUCCCUGUCCCUUCUAUAAAACGAGCAAGACUUCAAGGAAAGUAGAUAAUGAUUGAGAGAUGCCUAAAAUUGGUAACCUUAAAGACGACGCAUCCUCGCAUACACCUGCAUCUGGGUCUCUAGAAAGGAAAUCUAGAACGGGAAAAUCAAUGAAGGGAAAGGGAAGCAAGCUGAGGUCGAAAGGAGUCAGACACCCUGCUACCUGCAUUCUUUCACAGACAACAAAUCAAAGCUAUAAAGUAAAACUUUCCAUCCAAUCGCGGGCUGGGCUAAGUCUUUGCUUCUGCGACCCACUCCCCAGUCGAGGAACCUGGGAAGCUCUUGGACAGGUGCAGUGAUUUGGGGGGGAAAGCACUCUCCCCAAUUCCAGUGAUUAUAUAACCACAGACAUUCCAACGUCGCGGAGGAACCAAACAACAAGGGCCUCCCUGGGCCAGGACGCAGCCCCCUCCUCUCUAUCCCCACAGGUAGAGGACAAACCCUCCCUCCAUCCCUCAGGACCUAGAGUGAGGAGACCAGAAUCCCCAAGCCACAAGCUGUGAAGUGAUGUGACUUAAAGAGAGACCAUUCUCCGGAUUUGGGGAAGAAUGCUGGGGAGUGGGGGAGACCAGGAGCCCUCCGGGAUUGUAAGGAGAAGCAGGGUGGGAUGUAGCAGUGGAAAGAGGAAAGUGGCUGGGGGUAGGGGGUAGAAGGGUGGCUAGCAAUAAAAGGGAGAGGGGACAGAACUCUAACA